GACGAACGCUGGCGGCGUGCUUAACACAUGCAAGUCGAGCGGAGCUGCGCACGGGUGCGUAACGCGUGAGUAACUGCCCCCCUCUCUGGGAUAACAGUUGGAAACUGCUGCUAAUACCGGAUAGUGGGGGAUGACUCGCGUCCUAUCAGCUUGUUGGUGGGGUAGUGGCCUACCAAGGCGACGACGGGUAGCCGGCCUGAGAGGGCGACCGGCCACAUGGGGCUGAGGUACGGCGCAAAGUCGUACGGGAGGCAGUAGGGGGGAAUAUUGCACAAUGGGGGAAACUGUGAUGCAGCAACGCGCGUGCGGGAUGACGGCCUUCGGGUUGUAAACCGCGUUCAGCCAUGACGCGGUAGUGGCAGAAGAAGCACCGGCUAACUACGUGCCAGCCGCCGCGGUAAUAC
rnacentral:rRNA from 1 species